rnacentral:tmRNA from 1 species
GGGGUCGAUCCGGAUUCGACGUGGGUCGCGAAGCAGAACAGGGCAUGUCGAGCACCAGUAAGCUCGUAAAUCCACUGGAACACUACAAACGCCAACGACGAGCGUUUCGCUCUGGCCGCUUAAGCGGUGAGCCGCUGCACUGAUUUGUCCUUGGGUCAGGUGGGGUAAAACCCACAGCAGCGUCAUCUACAAGGAAUCGGGUCUGGCCAGGUCACUGGGCUAUGCCUUAAAUCAGUGUGAAUCGCCAAGGAAGGGCCUGCUGGUUGGCACGCUCCAAGGUUAAAACUCAAAAUUAACCGGAUAAACAUGUAGAACUGUCUGUAGAGGGCUUGCGGACGGGGGUUCAAUUCCCCCCGACUCCACCA